GUUGCGCCUUCCAUCACAACUCUCUUAUCACGCCGUUCUCUCGCCUUCCAUCUCAGCCGUUCUCUCGCCUUCCAUCACAGCUCUCUCAUCACAGUCUCGCCCUUCCAUCACCGGUCGCACCCUUCCAUCACCGGUCAACGAUUCGAACUUCUUCAAGUGAAAGCUUGAACCAUCACUCUCUCUGUCUUCCUAUUCCCAACCCAACCAUUCCUAUUCUAGACAUUAUCUAAGUAGAUUUUGAAGCAAUUCGGCUUCGAGUGCGUAGGGGAAGAAGUGCCGUCAUCAAGCCAGGAAUGCGGAAACAGCCAAAGCAGUACACAAGAUCAGUGUGACCACUAUAAUUCAGCCUUUGUCUCAGUUUCCUUCGCAUUAGCAAUCAAGAAGGGGAUAACUCGCAUUUGAUUAGCUAAUAUUCUUUGAAGGAAGGAAAAAUAAUAAGCUGACAAUGAAACGAACGGUUAGUGAAGUGGAAAAAGUGAGUGAACAAAAUACUGAAGCUUCAACUUCAAAAUCAUCCCAACCACUACCGAAGAAGAGAAGGGGCCCGACACGAUGCA